UACGUAGGUGGCAAGCGUUAUCCGGAUUUACUGGGUGUAAAGGGCGUGUAGGCGGGACUGCAAGUCAGAUGUGAAAACUAUGGGCUCAACUCAUAGCCUGCAUUUGAAACUGUUUUUCUUGAGUACCGGAGAGGUCAUCGGAAUUCCUUGUGUAGCGGUGAAAUGCGUAGAUAUACGGAGGAACACCAGUGGCGAAGGCGGCCUGCUGGACAAUAACUGACGCUGAGGCGCGAAAGCGUGGGGAGCAA
rnacentral:rRNA from 1 species